rnacentral:rRNA from 1 species
UACGAAGGGGGCUAGCGUUGCUCGGAAUUCCUGGGCGUAAAGCGCGCGUAGGCGGACCUGCAAGUCGGGGGUGAAAGCCCGAGGCUCAACCUCGGAACUGCCUUCGAUACUGCGGGUCUCGAGUCCGGGAGAGGUGAGUGGAAUUCCUAGUGUAGAGGUGAAAUUCGUAGAUAUUAGGAAGAACACCAGUGGCGAAGGCGGCUCACUGGCCCGGUACUGACGCUGCGGCGCGAAAGCGUGGGGAGCAAACAGG